rnacentral:lncRNA from 1 species
GAAAGAUUUUCAGAGUUUUCUUUCUUCUUACUUUUUCAGUCACAAGGCCAUCAAAAGAUGUUUUGCAUGUAUCUACUUCAUACAAGUCAGAUUCUGUUGUCCUCAUGCAUGAAUAUACCCAGAAGAAUCCAGAAUAACAAUGAGGAAAGUUGCCUAAGUCUGGCCCACUUAGAGUGCCAGCUGCCUAACAACCAAGAAAAAGAAGAGCAAGAGUAUUUUCAGUGCUUUGGCUGUGUUUUUCAUCUGAAAGAAGACUAUUUAAACUGGUGGAACAGUAUGAUGGAACAGCAGCUGCUGUAACUGCAGACAAGAAGCAAAUGUGCAAAGAUACAUUCAUAUUUCAAGUGAUGACCUUAUUCUCUGUGAAACAUCCAGGUCCAGGGCACCAUUCACCAUGGUGCUUUGCUUUCUUUACUGGUAUUCUGAUAUUAUACCACUGGAUUGAAAUGGUCUAUUAAUUGGAACAUGCAUAAAUGUGUAAUUGUCAAAAGAGAAAAAGCUGCUUAGAGUAACAGGAGUUCUCUCAGGUAUGCUGGCUUUAUUUGCAUUGUAUAGCUAAGGCAGUGCCCACCCUUUCCUUCUAGCCUUGCGCAGCAAUUUGUUGGGGGUCAGUGGGCAGCUAGGGUGUGGCUACUGGCAACACCUGUAAACCUUUCCCUUCAAAUAUGAAGAUUUGGCACAGGUGUGCACAAAAGGCUGCUGCUAACCUCAAACCUGUAAACUGUCUUCCAUGAGAUACACCUGCAUUAGCAGUAGAAUGGGUGUGUGAACUAGUAAUCUUAAAAAAGCUCUGAUUAGUGCAAGGUAAGUGACUUUUUAUAGAUAGUGAUGUAGUUAGGUCAGGUGUUACACAUAUAUUGCAGGUAUAAACAUGUAGGCUUUGUAUUUUUUCCUUCUGUGGAUAUAGCUACAGACACAUAAGCACCAAGAACUUUACGUGUAUUAUGAAUUUACUUGAGAUGUAAUAGAUACUUGCAAAGCUUAAUGUUUUCUUUUUGUCAACUUCAUGGAACCUAGUUAAAACCAUGGUCAACAACAUAUUUCUGAGUUUCAUGGGUUUUGAGCAUUUUAAUAUAAGUAAAGGGUCAUUGUAAUGAAGUUUGGUGUGAAAAAAUUGGUAAACCCAGAAAGGUUAAGCUUGAUGUAAGUUUUAUUAGAUUACUGCAUAACAAAGGGAUCAUUAUUAUUCUGGUUUUUGCUGUAGAAACAUAGCUGGUUGAAAUUUUUGCUUGGAAGUGGUUAAUUUAUUGUUUGCUGCCUAUGUUAUAGAUUCUUAAAAAAAUAUAGUUGAAC